rnacentral:tRNA from 1 species
AUUAAAAUGGCUGAUUAAAGCAUUAUCUUGAUAGGAUAAAUCAUAUGAGAAAUCAUUUUUAAUA